rnacentral:rRNA from 1 species
CCUACGGGAGACAGCAGUGAGGAAUAUUGGUCAAUGGACGAGAGUCUGAACCAGCCAAGUAGCGUGAAGGAUGACUGCCCUAUGGGUUGUAAACUUCUUUUAUAUGGGAAUAAAACGUUCCACGUGUGGGAUUUUGUAUGUACCAUAUGAAUAAGGAUCGGCUAACUCCGUGCCAGCAGCCGCGGUAAUACGGAGGAUCCGAGCGUUAUCCGGAUUUAUUGGGUUUAAAGGGAGCGUAGGUGGAGUGUUAAGUCAGUUGUGAAAGUUUGCGGCUCAACCGUAAAAUUGCAGUUGAAACUGGCAGUCUUGAGUACAGUAGAGGUGGGCGGAAUUCGUGGUGUAGCGGUGAAAUGCUUAGAUAUCACGAAGAACUCCGAUUGCGAAGGCAGUUCACUGGACUGCAACUGACACUGAGGCUCGAAAGUGUGGGUAUCAAACAGGAUUAGAUACCCCGGUAGUC